rnacentral:rRNA from 1 species
GAUGAACGCUCGCGGCAGGCCUAACACAUGCAAGUCGAGGGAUAAGCCUUCGGGCUCAGCCCGGCGCACGGGUGCGUAACGCGUAUACAAUCUGCCUUUUAUCCGGGGGAUAGCCCGAAGAAAUUUGGAUUAAUACCCUAUGGUAUAAGAGCACGGCAUCGUGCACUUAUUAAAGCUACGGCGGUAAAAGAUGAGUAUGCGUUCUAUUAGCUAGUUGGAGAGGUAACGGCUCCCCAAGGCGACGAUAGAUAGGGGUUCUGAGAGGGAUGUCCCCCACACUGGUACUGAGAUACGGACCAGACUCCUACGGGAGGCAGCAGUGAGGAAUAUUGGACAAUGGUCGGAAGACUGAUCCAGCCAUGCCGCGUGCAGGAUGACGGCCUUAUGGGUUGUAAACUGCUUUUGUAAGGGAAGAAUAAGGAGUACGUGUACUUUGAUGACGGUACCUUACGAAUAAGCAUCGGCUAACUCCGUG